rnacentral:rRNA from 1 species
GAUGAACGCUGGCGGCGUGCCUAAUACAUGCAAGUCGAGCGAACAGACGAGGAGCUUGCUCCUCUGACGUUAGCGGCGGACGGGUGAGUAACACGUGGAUAACCUACCUAUAAGACUGGGAUAACUUCGGGAAACCGGAGCUAAUACCGGAUAAUAUAUUGAACCGCAUGGUUCAAUAGUGAAAGACGGUUUUGCUGUCACUUAUAGAUGGAUCCGCGCCGCAUUAGCUAGUUGGUAAGGUAACGGCUUACCAAGGCGACGAUGCGUAGCCGACCUGAGAGGGUGAUCGGCCACACUGGACCUAGGAAACGGUCCAGACUCCUAGGGGAGCAGGCAGUGGGAAUCUUCCGCAAUGGGCGAAAGCCUGACGGAGCAACGCCGCGUGAGUGAUGAAGGUCUUCGGAUCGUAAAACUCUGUUAUUAGGGAAGAACAAAUGUGUAAGUAACUAUGCACGUCUUGACGGUACCUAAUCAGAAAGCCACGGCUAACUACGUG